rnacentral:rRNA from 1 species
AGUGAACGCUGGCGGUAGGCCUAACACAUGCAAGUCGAACGGCAGCACAGUAAGAGUUUGCUCUUACGGGUGGCGAGUGGCGGACGGGUGAGGAAUACAUCGGACUCUACUUUUUCGUGGGGGAUAACGUAGGGAAACUUACGCUAAUACCGCAUACGACCUACGGGAGAAAGCAGGGGAUCUUCGCACCUUGCGCGAUUGAAUGAGCCGAUGUCGGAUUAGCUAGUUGGCGGGGUAAAGGCCCACCAAGGCGACGAUCCGUAGCUGGUCUGAGAGGAUGAUCAGCCACACUGGAACUGAGACACGGUCCAGACUCCUACGGGAGGCAGCAGUGGGGAAUAUUGGACAAUGGGCGCAAGCCUGAUCCAGCCAUGCCGCGUGGAUGAAGAAGGCCUUCGGGUUGUAAAGCCCUUUUGUUGGGGAAGAAAAGCAGCAGGUUAAUACCCCGCUGUUCUGACGGUACCCAAAGAAUAAGCACCGGCUAACUUCGUG